rnacentral:rRNA from 1 species
UACGUAGGUGGCAAGCGUUGUCCGGAUUAUUGGCGUAAAGCGCGCGCAGGCGGUCCUUUAAGUCUGAUGUGAAAUCUUGCGGCUCAACCGCAAGCGGUCAUUGGAAACUGGGGGGACUUGAGUACAGAAGAGGAAAGCGGAAUUCCACGUGUAGCGGUGAAAUGCGUAGAGAUGUGGAGGAACACCAGUGGCGAAGGCGGCUUUCCGUGGUCUGAUAACUGACGCUGAGGCGCGAAAAGCGUGGGGAGCAAACAGG